rnacentral:piRNA from 1 species
CAGCCAAAUAACUUCAUGAUGCUGGGC